GCUGAGAUGGCGGAAUUGGUAUACGCAUAGUCUUGAGGUGGCUACGGGGAAACCCAUGAGAGUUCAAAUCUCUUUCUCAGCA
rnacentral:tRNA from 1 species